rnacentral:rRNA from 1 species
UACGUAGGAGGCGAGCGUUGUCCGGAAUCACUGGGCGUAAAGCGCGUGUAGGCGGAUGACUAAGUUUGCUGUGAAAGCGCCUGGCUUAACUGGGCGAGGUCGGCGAAAACUAGUCGUCUGGAGGCCGGUAGAGGGGGGUGGAAUUCCGGGUGUAGUGGUGAAAUGCGUAGAUAUUGGGAGGAACACCAGUGGCGAAGGCGGCUCACUGGACCGGUUCUGACGCUGAGGCGCGAAAGCGUGGGGAGCAAACGGG